UGGAGCAAGUCCAUGACUCUGCCC
rnacentral:piRNA from 1 species